GGGGACGUUAUGGAUUCGACGGGGGUAGGUCGGUCGUAUGUGGCGUGUCGAGGGUCGGUCGUUAAAACGCAAACGCCUAUAACUGGCAAAACUAACACACAACUCGCAGCAGCCUAAGUGCCCUGCGGAUCCUGACAUCCAUCGCUUGUGUGGAUGACUUUCAGGGUCUCAAACUAAGCAAGCUACGCUUCAACCUCGCCGUCUGAGGGCGCGAAGAAGAGAUGAAACAGACUGGAUGCGACAACGCCUGUUUAUCGGCAGUGUCACAUCGAGAUUCAAUAGAUAAACUACACACGUAGAAGCAUACGUUACGAUGCCUUCGGACGCGGGUUCGACUCCCGCCGUCUCCAUUU
rnacentral:tmRNA from 1 species